rnacentral:rRNA from 1 species
GACGAACGCUGGCGGCGUGCCUAAUACAUGCAAGUCGAACGCAUGGUCGUUCACCGUAGCUUGCUACACCGAAAGAAAAUGGGUGGCGAACGGGGUAGUAACACGUGGGUAACCUGCCCAUCAGCUUGGGAUAACACGUGGAAACAGGGGCUAAUACCGUAUAAUUCCAUUUACCGCAGGGUAGAUGGGUGAAGGUGUCUCUUGUGGCACUGUUGGAGGUACCUGCGGUGCUUGAGCUAGUUGGUGGGGUAACGGCCAACCAAGGCUGCGAUGCAUAGCCGACCUGGGAGGGUGGUCGGCCCACCUGGGAAUGUGAACCGGCCCCGACUCCUACGGGGAGCAGCAGUAGGGAAUCUUCGGCCAUGGACACAAGUCUGACCGAGCCACGCCGAGUGAGUGAAGAAGGUUUUCGGAUCGUAAAACUCUGUUGUUAGAGAAGAAAAAGGAUGAGAGUGGAAAGUUCAUCCCUUGACGGUAUCUAACCAGAAAGCCACGGCUAACUACGUG